rnacentral:rRNA from 1 species
GACGGACGCUGGCGGCGUGCCUAAUACAUGCAAGUCGAGCGCCGAAGGUUGGUACUUGUACCAAUUGGAUGAGCAGCGAACGGGUGAGUAACGCGUGGAGAAUCUGCCUUUGAGCGGGGGACAACAUCUGGAAACGAAUGCUAAUACCGCAUAAAAACUUUAAACACAAGUUUUAAGUUUGAAAGAUGCAAUUGCAUCACUCAAAGAUGAUCCCGCGUUGUAUUAGUUAGUUGGUGAGGUAAAGGCCCACCAAGGCAAUGAUACGUAGCCGACCUGAGAGGGUGAUGGGCCACAUUGGAACUGAGACACGGUCCAAACUCCUACGGGAGGCAGCAGUGGGGAAUUUUGGGCAAUGGGCGAAAGCUUGACGGAGCAACGCCGCGGGGGUGAUGAAGGUUUUCGGAUCGUAAAACCCUUUUGUUGGGAAAGAACAUAGGUGGAGUUAAAAACCCAUGCAGUGACGGUAACUAACCAGAAAGCGACGGCUAACUACGUG